rnacentral:rRNA from 1 species
AUUGAACGCUGGCGGCAGGCCUAACACAUGCAAGUCGAGCGAGCGGCGGACGGGUGAGUAAUGUAUGGGGACUGCCCGAUAGAGGGGGAUAACUACUGGAAACGGUGGCUAAUACCGCAUACUAUCGGAUAACCCAUAUGGGAUUAGGUAGUUGGUGAGGGAAAGGCUCACCAAGCCGACGAUCCCUAGCUGGGCGGAGAGGAUGAGCAGCCACACGGGGACGGUGACACGGCCCAGACUCCUACGGAGGCAGAAGUGGGGAAUAUUGCGCAAGGGGUGCAACCCUGACGCAGCCAUGCCGCGUGAAUGAAGAAGGCCUUCGGGUUGUAAAGUUCUUUCGGUAGCGAGGCGUUAACUACAGAAGAAGCACCGGCUAACUCCGUGCCAGCAGCCGCGGUAAUAC